AGCUCUAGCACCUUUGUCUUUACUUGGGAUUCUCACACUGCCACCCCACCACAUGACCUCUCCAACACCCUACAUGCGUAGUCCCUUUAAAUCCCAGCAGGCACCCUGAAUUCCCGUCCACAGUUUACGGUCCUGCCCACUUUCCCAGGAGGCAUCCUGCCUCCUCACACUCUCUCUGGCUGAAGUCUCAGAGGUCAUUCCAGAUGCCAUGUUUCCUUCACAUCCACAUCUACCACGUUACCGGUUGUCUCGCCUUCCAAACAGCCGCAGUCUAACCGCUGGCCGCCUCCGCUGUCACUACCAGGGUCCGACUGCGUCUCCCUUCACACAGACCACAGCUGGAGCCUUGUAGCAUCACUGUCCUGGGCCCACUAAAGCAAAGGACCUUAGUGCGGAUGUGCCGUGGUGUUGGCCUUCACUGGCUGAGCUGGCUUUUCCUGGCAGACACCUGCAGUGUUGGAGGGACCGUUAUGGUUCCUCUCUCAAACCGGCCUAAACUGCUUAAAGGGUUGGUUCUGAGGACUGUUUUUGUGGUGAAUUUGUUCAUGGCAGUGGUGACUGUCCCAUGAGGUGUAUGAAGGGUGAGGCUUCUCUGAGCAGGGGCAAUUUGGGGUGCUGGCUGUCCAGUCAGGUUUCAUACACAUGUGUGUUUGGGGUGGGGGGCUUACAGACAAGAAUUAAAGGUCUUUAAUAAAGAAAUAAAAUCAAAAGUCCAAAAUGCUGAGUGCUGUUCUUCCAUGAAUGCUGUUUCUGAGGAAGAUGAUGAUGGGUGUUUUUUAUUUUCUUCUUUUGUUAAUAAUUUCUGACUGUAAAAACAAUGACCACAUGCUGGAAAUCACUUUAGGGAAAUGUUUGGUAACAAUGAAGCAGCAAUGAGGGUCGUCCCAGCAAAUCACCCCAAGUUGCAAACACACAAGCCUGCCGGCUUCUAUUUAGAGAGUGUUAAUGUGAUUAGAAUGAUGGUAGGUCUGGUUUGUGAGCUUGUCAUCUCUGGGCCCUCAUCAUGUUCUCUCUGGACUUCAUGGAGUCCCAAGAGGUUCUCAGCCAAGCAGAAAUGAUAAUAAAAUGAAGGCGAGAACAGUUUGGAUUGUUUAGUCUAACAGAAAUUACGGCUUAAGCAUUUCUGGGCAAGUAAAGCUUUUUAGAUGAAGAUGGUGAUCAGUUCUUAGCCAUCUCCACAAAGUACAGAGUGAGAAGGGAUGGCCCUCAACUGACGAAGAACCCGAAGGACAGAUCCUUGCCAGGAGGCUGAGAUGACCCUGCACGGGUGGGUAGAGCCUGUUAGUCCACGCAAGGCUGCACAUGGGAAAUGCCAUCUGUCCCAGCUGAUGCUCCCAAGCCAGCUGGCCAGAUGGUUCCUUGCAGUGCUGAUCCCAUGAUAUCUUGAUGAAGGUGUAAAUUCGCAUCAUCCCUUCCUGAACAACCAGUCCUGGAACUCAGACGUCUAUGUUCUUAACCAGGACUGGCCUGGGAGCUGGUGGCCAUCUGUGUGGGAGCACAGCCAGAAUAGCACUCCUCUUGCUGUGUCACGCUGUGUGCAGUCCUGCCAAGUGACAAUCACUUUUGGUCAUCUUGAGCCCAAUGGGGUGUGAGUGAUACUCUUAUGAUCCUCCUACCCCCAACGGAUCAAUGUCUUCAUCUAAAAUUCAUCGCUUGGAGACAUUCAAUCCAUAAUUUUUAUGUGUGUGUAUAUAUAUAUAUAUAAUUCCUUCCUGAUUCUGUCUGAUCUAUCAAAUAGGAUUGAAGGUGUUUUAGAAAAUUAGUAUAGAAUUUUCUCUCUUGAGGAAUUCUUAAGAAAACUUACCCAUGGCCUGAGAGGUGGCUCAGUUAGAGCAUUUGCUUAGCAUGUAUUCGGUCCUAGGUUCAGUCCCCAGAACUGCAUAAAUUGGCGUGAUGAUGCAGGCCUAUACACCCAGCACACAGGAAGUAGAGGUGGGAGAUUCAGGAGUUCAAAGUAAUCCUUAGCCGCAUAGCAAGUUUGAGACCUGGGCUACAUGAAACCUACACGAGCUAUAUGAAACCUACACGAAGCUACAUGAAACCUACACGAAGCUACAUGUUUUGGGUCCAAAAAACCCAAAACAACAAAGAAGACUUAGCUGAAACUUAGAAAUGAGGCUAAAGGGCAUGUCAUCUCAGUGAGCUACUGGGACAUUGGCAGGCUUGGCCAAGAAUAACUUCAUUCCAGAGAAUAUGCCUCCUUGACUUUGCUUUUCAUGGGUUGAUGAGUGUAGGUGUGGUAAACAUUCAUGCUACCUUGUUGAUUUCUGUCUUUUAAAAAAGGAUAACCAAGAAGUUCAAGGCUCAUUCCUUUGUAGGGCGUUAGCCGGCUUUCUCUGUGAUCUGGCAAUCAUUCUAGCACUGAGUUGUGAAUGUUUGUAAAAUCCCCUGAAUGCUCUCUGAACCUUCUACCCUGUGCUGCUGCUUGCUUAGUGCUGCCCUCCCUAUGGAAGAAGGGAGGAAACGCACAAUGGGUUCUCAUGGUGCAGGAUGAGGCAGAUCCGUGCCAUUGUUUGCAGGAAGAUGGGUCAGGUAUCAAGAAAGCGGUGGCCAGGCAGCUGCUUGGUGAGUGAGAUAUCGGUGGGGUUUUUCCAGUCAUAACAAUUAGCUAAGAACAAGAUCGGCAGAAGAGCGUGGGCAGAGCCGAGGCCACCAGGAUGGAGGAGGAGGUUUCUAAGUGCUGUAAUUGUGAUUAGGACGCUGAACCAAGAACCCUGGUGGGUUUGCAUGUCACACUGGAGAAAGGUACUUCAGAGGCAGAGAAAUACGAGGGAAGAGAAAGUUCUGGUACAACUGUGGGAGAAACUGUCCAGGUGGGUACGAGGUGGGUGGGGAGCAGGUGAGGCCGAGAGUGGUGGGGAGCCACAGGGGCUGUCUGUCUGUGGAGACACUGAACGCUCCCUGGUGCGACAGGCCCUGGAGGUGGCAACAGGAGCAUUUGUUCCUGAGAGGCCUGUGGGGAGAAAGGAAGCUUGAAGCAGAGCCCGCCCUAGCGUGGCCUGAUUCGGAAGUCAAAAAAUGGCUGGGAUGAAGCGGAGAGUUUACCACAGGGGAGUCAGGAGAACUGGUGGGCACAGGAGCCAACAUCUUGCUUCCUACCCAGGGACUGGUGUGAUAAGAAGCAAAUGUACGAAGACACUGGAGAGAGGCCCACGCACUGUAAAAGAUGACUGAGAGGGCCAGAGGGACCAGGGGUCUAAGGACAUGGUUGAGGACAUGGCUGACCUCCGAAAGAAACAGAGACCGACGGAAGACUUCCCGGCUUCAGGGUUUUGGGGGAGGCUUUGGCCAUGGCUACCCAGAGUGCUUCUCUGCAGUGCCCUGACCUUACUUUCUCUGGUUUAGAAAGAGAACAGGAGAAACCUCUCCCUUUGGAAUCAAGUCGGUCCCUUCAGCGCUCAAGCAGGCUAGCAGAGGAUGUGGCUGUCUCACAUGGCGCUGUCACGCUCUAAGUCCUUAGGGGCCAUGGAGCAUCCCCCGAGGGAAGCUGCAGAGACCUGAGAUGUUGGGGUUACAGGGGCCGUGGAGCAUCCACCGAGGGAAGCUGCAAAGAUCUGAAAUGCUGGAGUUACAGGGGCCGUGGAGCAUCUACCGAGGGAAGCUGCAGAGACCUGAGAUGUUGUGUUGUGUCCAGGUUACAAGACCCCCAAGCAAGACUACCACAGAGCUGAUAUCUGAUUCAAGCACACAGGGGUUUAUUAAUAACAAAGCAAGCCCGGGCUUUGUCCAUGUCCAACACUCAACACAGUGGGUGGAGGAGGACGGCCCCAGCACUCACUUGAAGGGGUUUAUAUAGGAAAAGUUUACAUGCAGAGAGUUACAUUUCUUGGGCUUGGACGAGGGGGCUCGGGUGAGGUAGUUUUUUGAAGUUACUGGCUGAACUAUAAGUAUGAGGUUACUGAUGGCUAACAGGAUUCAGGGUAUCUAAGAGACAUAAUUUUUUUACUCCCCAUGUCCUGUUUUUGCUGAGCCCAGGAUAUAUACAUUCAGAUUUAUUGUUCCAGUCCUAUUUUUCCAUAAGUUCAGUUUCUGGUCAGUUGAGUCCAUUACUCCCCAUAUCCUGUUUUACCAAGUCCAGGAUAUAUAGAUUUAUUGUUCCAGCCUUAUCUUCACACCAGUUCAACCUCUGGUCAGUUCUAAAACUGCUGGUCAGCAAAUACCUUUGGUGGGGGGAGUGUCUCUCAAGAGGGCUACUGAUUUUUCCCUUUCAUUUGGAGUUACAGGGGCCAUGGAGCAUCCCCCGAGGGAAGCUACAGAGACCUGAGAUGUUGGGGUUACAAGGGCCAUGGAGCAUCCCCCGAAGGAAGCUGCAGAGACCUGAGAUGUUGGGGUUACAGGGGCCAUGGAGCAUCCCCCGAGGGAAGCUGCAGAGACCUGAGAUAUUGGGGUUACAGGAGCCAUGGAGCAUCCCCCGAGGGAAGCUACAGGCAUAAAACAGAGCCAGCCUAAGAGAAUGACCACAUGUGUGGCACAUGGCUGAGCUGGAGAGGUGGAGAUUCCCAGGCCUGCUGGAACCCAGAUGAUGCCACCAGCACCCCAGGAGAGGAAGUGACUUCUGGGCCUGAGGUCGUAUCUGUGGCAGAGACCCUGGAGUUUUCAUGGCAGGCCCGCCCACCUGAGGCUGGCUAGAGGCACACCACCGCCUGCUGGGCUUACCCUCCUGAGCUCCCUGUGUUUCUGAGCUCCUGCAUCUCAUGUUUACUUCUGAGCUCUGCCUAACCUCAGGCACGUUUGAAUUUUUAUGGAAGUGUGGAGUGCUGUUCCAGAUACAUCGGUUAUUGCUCUUUUAGUUUGUAAUAAUGGAAGAUGGGAUUGAUCCCGCCCCCCGUUAGUUUAUUCCUCUGAAUUCUUCAUUUCUGUAUUUUGCUUUCAGUCUUCUCAUUGAAGUUUUGAUCUGUAAAAUAAUAAUUUAAAGGUUUGUAUCAAGUUUA